GCGAUGAAGCGGGAGGUUGCGGCAGCAAUGUCGGUUUUUCCGUGGAGUAUGUCCGAUUUUAAACCGGGCGACA
rnacentral:ncRNA from 1 species